GGCGGUAGGCCUAACACAUGCAAGUCGAACGGCAGCACAGGAGAGCUUGCUCUCUGGGUGGCGAGUGGCGGACGGGUGAGGAAUACAUCGGAAUCUACUUUUUCGUGGGGGAUAACGUAGGGAAACUUACGCUAAUACCGCAUACGACCUACGGGUGAAAGCAGGGGAUCUUCGGACCUUGCGCGAUUGAAUGAGCCGAUGUCGGAUUAGCUAGUUGGCGGGGUAAAGGCCCACCAAGGCGACGAUCCGUAGCUGGUCUGAGAGGAUGAUCAGCCACACUGGAACUGAGACACGGUCCAGACUCCUACGGGAGGCAGCAGUGGGGAAUAUUGGACAAUGGGCGCAAGCCUGAUCCAGCCAUACCGCGUGGGUGAAGAAGGCCUUCGGGUUGUAAAGCCCUUUUGCUGG
rnacentral:rRNA from 1 species